UUAUCGUCUAUUUGAUAGUACCUUACUACUUGGAUAACCGUGGUAAUUCUAGAGCUAAUACAUGCUGAAAACCCCGACUUCGGAAGGGAUGUAUUUAUUAGAUUAAAAACCAAUGCCCUUCGGGGCUCCCUGGUGAUUCAUGAUAACUUCUCGAAUCGCACGGCCUUGCGCCGGCGAUGGUUCAUUCAAAUUUCUGCCCUAUCAACUUUCGACGGCUGGGUCUUGGCCAGCCAUGGUGACAACGGGUAACGGAGGGUUAGGGCUCGACCCCGGAGAAGGAGCCUGAGAAACGGCUACUACAUCCAAGGAAGGCAGCAGGCGCGCAAAUUACCCAAUCCCGACACGGGGAGGUAGUGACAAUAAAUACUGAUACAGGGCUCUUUUGGGUCUUGUAAUUGGAAUGAGUACAAUUUAAUUCCCUUAACGAGGAACAAUUGGAGGGCAAGUCUGGUGCCAGCAGCCGCGGUAAUUCCAGCUCCAAUAGCGUAUAUUAAAGUUGUUGCAGUUAAAAAGCUCGUAGUUGAACCUUGGGCCUGGCUGGCCGGUCCGCCUCACCGCGUGCACUGGUCCGGCCGGGCCUUUCCCUCUGGGGAGCCGCAUGCCCUUCACUGGGCGUGUCGGGGAACCAGGACGUUUACUUUGAAAAAAUUAGAGUGUUCAAAGCAGGCUUAUGCUCGGAUACAUUAGCAUGGAAUAAUAGAAUAGGACGUGCGGUUCUAUUUUGUUGGUUUCUAGGACCGCCGUAAUGAUUAAUAGGGACAGUCGGGGGCAUCAGUAUUCAGUUGUCAGAGGUGAAAUUCUUGGAUUUACUGAAGACUAACUACUGCGAAAGCAUUUGCCAAGGAUGUUUUCAUUAAUCAGGAACGAAAGUUAGGGGAUCGAAGACGAUCAGAUACCGUCGUAGUCUUAACCAUAAACUAUGCCGACUAGGGAUCGGACGGUGUUAUUUUUUGACCCGUUCGGCACCUUACACGAAAGUACAAGUUCCUGGGGUCCUGGGGGGAGUAGGGGCUGAAGC
rnacentral:rRNA from 1 species